UUGGGGUGCUCGAGUGGCGAACGGGUGAGUAACACGUGAGUAACCUGCCCUUGACUUUGGGAUAACUUCAGGAAACUGGGGCUAAUACCGGAUAGGAGCUCCUGCUGCAUGGUGGGGGUUGGAAAGUUUCGGCGGUUGGGGAUGGACUCGCGGCUUAUCAGCUUGUUGGUGGGGUAGUGGCUUACCAAGGCUUUGACGGGUAGCCGGCCUGAGAGGGUGACCGGCCACAUUGGGACUUAGAUACGGCCCAG
rnacentral:rRNA from 1 species